rnacentral:rRNA from 1 species
AGCGAACGCUGGCGGCAGGCCUAACACAUGCAAGUCGAACGAACUCUUCGGAGUUAGUAGCGGACGGGUGAGUAACACGUGGGAACGUGCCUUUAGGUUCGGAAUAACUCAGGGAAACUUGUGCUAAUACCGAAUGUGCCCUUCGGGGGAAAGAUUUAUCGCCUUUAGAGCGGCCCGCGUCUGAUUAGCUAGUUGGUGAGGUAAAGGCUCACCAAGGCGACGAUCAGUAGCUGGUCUGAGAGGAUGAUCAGCCACAUUGGGACUGAGACACGGCCCAAACUCCUACGGGAGGCAGCAGUGGGGAAUCUUGCGCAAUGGGCGAAAGCCUGACGCAGCCAUGCCGCGUGAAUGAUGAAGGUCUUAGGAUUGUAAAAUUCUUUUACCCGGGAUGAUAAUGACAGUACCGGGAGAAUAAGCUCCGGCUAACUUCGUGCCAGCCGCCGCGGUAA